rnacentral:lncRNA from 1 species
UGCGCAGCCACUGCGCAGGGUCGAAGUGUACCCCCUGCAGGGCGAGGCUGAGGGGCUGCUGCUCUGAGGAGCCUGGUGACAGGGCCCGUCUUGGUUCUCCCAGAGUUUACCCUAUUUCACUGGAUAAUGGAGAGAGAUGAAGAGGAAAGAAGGGACCUGUCUGAUAAAUUUGCGCAUCUAACGAAGAAAGAUUAUGACUCAGUGUUUGAUCGAAUUCGGACCUUGAUGCAGCAUCAUGGCUACCCUAAAAAACAUGACAGAGACAAGGCCCUAGUGGGCCAGACCUCCUCUGUGACCAUAAACCAGACUUCUAAGACCACAAGCCAGAUCUAUUCUGAUACCUCAAGCCAGAAAUUUUCUGAGACUGAGACCCAGACCUGUUAUGAGACCGAGAGCCAGACCUUUGUGACCGUGAGUCGGAGCGCUUCUCAGACAUCGAACCACAACUUUGCAACCGUUUACCAGAUCUCUUCAGACAGUUCAAACCAGAGCUUAUCAGAGAACGAGAGCCAGACCUAUCCUGAGAUCGCGAGCCCGACCUUUGUGACCGUGAGCCGGAGCACUUCUGAGACAAACCACAACUUUGCAACCGUGCACGAGAUCUCUUCAGACACUUCAAACCAGAGCCUGUCAGAGAACGAGAGCCACACCUAUGCUGAGACCAUGAACCAGACCUUUGUGAC